AGGAAAAGAAACUAACAAGGAUUCCCCUAGUAACGGCGAGUGAAGCGGGAAUAGCUCAAAUUUAAAAUCUGAGUGGUCACCACUCCGAAUUGUAGUUUAAAGAAAUGUUUUCGGGGUUAAACCAGGACUAAGUCCCUUGGGAUGGGGCAUCAUAGAAGGUGAGAAUCCUGUAUGGUUCUGGAAUUAACCCUAUGUGAUACAUUUUCAAAGAGUCGGGUUGUUUGGGAAUGCAGCCCAAAAUGGGUGGUAAAUACCAUCUAAAGCUAAAUAUUGGUGAGAGACCGAUAGCGAACAAGUACCGUGAGGGAAAGAUGAAAAGAACUUUGAAAAGAGAGUUAAAAGUGCGUGAAAUUGUUAAAAGGGAAACACUUGAAACCAGUCUUGAGGUUGGAAUCCCAACUGGUCUAACGAUCAGCAUAUGUUUCCAACUUCAGGUCAACAUCAGUUUCGACUGGAGGAAAAAGCUUGUUGAAGGUGGCCCUUCGGGGUGUUAUAGCUUCAAGUAAUACUCUGGUUGGGACUGAGGAACGCAGUGCAGUCUUGGGUACCCAGUCGCUAGUUGAAUUACUUUGCAGACAACUUGUUGAUUGCAAGGGAGCUAAGGCUAAUCGGUUGGCUUGCCACACCUGUACUUAGGAUGUUGACAUAAUGGUUUUAAAUGACCCGUCUUGAAACACGGACCAAGGAGUCUAACACAUAUGCGAGUUUUUGGGUGGUAAACCCGGGAAGCGCAAUGAAAGUAUUAAGGUAUGAACCGCAAGGUGCAAUAUCGACCGGUCUGGAUAUUUAUUGAUAGAUCUGAGUAAGAGCAUAUCUGUUAGGACCCGAAAGAUGGUGAACUAUGCCUGAAUAGGGUGAAGCCAGGGGAAACCCUGGUGGAGGCUCGUAGCGAUUCUGACGUGCAAAUCGAUCGUCAAAUUUGGGUAUAGGGGCGAAAGACUAAUCGAACCAUCUAGUAGCUGGUUCCCUCCGAAGUUUCCCUCAG
rnacentral:rRNA from 1 species